ensembl:snoRNA Small nucleolar RNA SNORA23
GGUGGGCGGUGUGCGCUGUGUCUGUCAGCGUUUAGUGCCGUCUCUAGUCUGUGUUUUACAAGCUGUGGCUGUACUCACACCUCACCAGCAGCCACAGAGCCACUGGAGAUCAUAGUACUGGCUUAGUGACUGUCCACCACUAGCCAGCCUCCAAUCUCUCCUACAAGA